GUCAGUCAACUUCCCCCUCAGGCCUGAGGUUGGUUAGGGAGGUCAGUCAACUUCCCCCUCAGGCCUGAGGUUGGUUAGGGGGAGGUCAGUCAACUUCCCCCUCAGGCCUGAGGUUGGUUAGGGGGAGGUCAGUCAACUUCCCCCUCAGGCCUGAGGUUGGUUAGGGGGAGGUCAGUCAACUUCCCCCUCAGGCCUGAGGUUGGCUAGGGGGGGGGGUCAGUCAACUUCCCCCUCAGGCCUGAGGUUGGCUAGGGGGAGGUCAGUCAACUUCCCCCUCAGGCCUGAGGUUGGCUAGGGGGAGGUCAGUCAACUUCCCCCUCAGGCCUGAGGUUGGCUAGGGGGAGGUCAGUCAACUUCCCCCUCAGGCCUGAGGUUGGCUAGGGGGAGGUCAGUCAACUUCCCCCUCAGGCCUGAGGUUGGUUAGGGGGAGGUCAGUCAACUUCCCCCUCAGGCCUGAGGUUGGUUAGGGGGAGGGGAGGUCAGUCAACUUCCCCCUCAGGCCUGAGGUUGGUUAGGGGGAGGUCAGUCAACUUCCCCCUCAGGCCUGAGGUUGGCUAGGGGGAGGGGAGGUCAGUCAACUUCCCCCUCAGGCCUGAGGUUGGUUAGGGGGAGGUCAGU